AGGCCGUCGGGUGGUGAUCGUGAGCGGUUAAAUCCCGUAAGUCAUUGAAUCUCCUAAGUAUGCAGCGGCCUGCCGAGCCGUUUAGGCCGGUUCGACUCCGGCUCGCGCCUCCCA
rnacentral:tRNA from 1 species